UCGGGAAUUUUGGGCAAUGGGGGAAACCCUGACCCAGCAACGCCGCGUGAAGGAUGAAGUAUUUCGGUAUGUAAACUUCGAAAGAAUAGGAAGAAUAAAUGACGGUACUAUUUAUAAGGUCCGGCUAACUACGUGCCAGCAGCCGCGGUAAUACGAAGGGGGCUAGCGUUGUCCGGAUUUAUUGGGUUUAAAGGGUGCGUAGGCGGUUUAUUAAGUCAGUGGUGAAAGACGGUCGCUCAACGAUUGCAGUGCCAUUGAUACUGGUAGACUUGAGUAUGAUUGAGGUAGCUGGAAUGGAUAGUGUAGCGGUGAAAUGCAUAGAUAUUAUCCAGAACACCAAUUGCGUAGGCAAGUUACUAAGUCAUAACUGACGCUGAGGCACGAAAGUGUGGGUAUCAAACAGGAUUAGAUACCCUUGUAGUCCCUGAGCGGGCUGGCAAGGCGCAU
rnacentral:rRNA from 1 species